rnacentral:rRNA from 1 species
CAGCAGUCGCCGCGGGAAUACGAAGGGGGCUAGCGUUGCUCGGAAUCACUGGGCGUAAAGGGUGCGUAGGCGGGUCUUUAAGUCAGGGGUGAAAUCCUGGAGCUCAACUCCUGAACUGCCUUUGAUACUGAAGAUCUUGAGUUCGGGAGAGGUGAGUGGAACUGCGAGUGUAGAGGUGAAAUUCGUAGAUAUUCGCAGGAACACCAGUGGCGAAGGCGGCUCACUGGCCCGAUACUGACGCUGAGGCACGAAAGCGUGGGGAGCAAACAGGAUUAGAUACCCCGGUAGUCCCUGUCUCUUAUAC